UGGCGAUUUUGGAACUCAAUGGCA
rnacentral:miRNA from 1 species